UACGAAGGGGGCUAGCGUUGCUCGGAAUCACUGGGCGUAAAGCGCACGUAGGCGGAUUGCUAAGUCAGGGGUGAAAUCCUGGAGCUCAACUCCAGAACUGCCUUUGAUACUGGGAGUCUUGAGUUCGGGAGAGGUGAGUGGAACUGCGAGUGUAGAGGUGAAAUUCGUAGAUAUUCGCAAGAACACCAGUGGCGAAGGCGGCUCACUGGCCCGGUACUGACGCUGAGGUGCGAAAGCGUGGGGAGCAAACAGG
rnacentral:rRNA from 1 species